rnacentral:precursor_RNA from 12 species
AUUUAUAUAGUUCAGCUAAUUUUUAGUUCCUGUAAACAUCCUACACUCAGCUAUUAUAAGUGGUGGGGCUGGGGGUUGGGUGUUUACUUCAACUGACUUGGAAAGGCAGCUUUCCUCAAU